GACGAACGCUGGCGGCGUGCUUAACACAUGCAAGUCGAACGGAAAGGCCCUGCUUUUGUGGGGUGCUCGAGUGGCGAACGGGUGAGUAACACGUGAGUAACCUGCCCUUGACUUUGGGAUAACUUCAGGAAACUGGGGCUAAUACCGGAUAGGAGCUCCUGCUGCAUGGUGGGGGUUGGAAAGUUUCGGCGGUUGGGGAUGGACUCGCGGCUUAUCAGCUUGUUGGUGGGGUAGUGGCUUACCAAGGCUUUGACGGGUAGCCGGCCUGAGAGGGUGACCGGCCACAUUGGGACUGAGAUACGGCCCAGACUCCUACGGGAGGCAGCAGUGGGGAAUAUUGCACAAUGGGCGGAAGCCUGAUGUAGCAACGCCGCGUGCGGGAUGACGGCCUUCGGGUUGUAAACCGCUUUCGCCUAUGACGAAGCGUGAGUGACGGUAAUGGGUAAAGAAGCACCGGCUAACUACGUG
rnacentral:rRNA from 1 species